CACGGGUGAGUAACGCGUAUGGAACCUACCUGAAACAGGGGGAUAGCUUCCGGAAACGGGGAUUAAUACCCCAUACGAUUCAUUUGUGGCCUCACAAAUGGAUAAAAGCUACGGCGGUUUCAGAUGGUCAUGCGUACCAUUAGUUAGUUGGUGAGGUAAAGGCUCACCAAGGCGAUGAUGGUUAGGGGUCCUGAGAGGGUAGUCCCCCACACUGGUACUGAGACACGGACCAGACUCCUACGGGAGGCAGCAGUGAGGAAUAUUGGUCAAUGGGCGCUAGCCUGAACCAGCCAUGCCGCGUGCAGGAAGACGGCCCUACGGGUUGUAAACUGCUUUUCUGCAGGAAGAAUAUAUAGUCUUAGGGCUAUAUUGACGGUACUGCAGGAAUAAGCAUCGGCUAACUCCAUGCCAGCAGCCGCGGUAAUACGGAGGAUGCAAGCGUUAUCCGGAUUCAUUGGGUUUAAAGGGUGCGCAGGCUGUAAAGCAAGUCAGUGGUGAAAGCCCUGGGCUUAACUCAGGGAUUGCCAUUGAAACUGUUUUACUAGAGUGUAGUAGAGGACGGCGGAAUGAGUUGUGUAGCGGUGAAAUGCAUAGAUAUAACUCAGAACACCUAUUGCGUAGGCAGCUGUCUAUACUACAACUGACGCUGAGGCACGAAAGCGUGGGGAGCGAACAGGAUUAGAUACCCUGGUAGUCCACGCUGUAAACGAUGAUCACUCGUUGUUGGCUACUUAGUAGUCAGUGACCAAGGGAAACCGAUAAGUGAUCCACCUGGGGAGUACGUCGGCAACGAUGAAACUCAAAGGAAUUGACGGGGGCCCGCACAAGCGGAGGAACAUGUGGUUUAAUUGGAUGAUACGCGAGGAACCUUACCUGGGAUUAAUUGCUGGCUGCAUUGGAGGGAAACGUUCAUUUCGUACGGGACCGCCAGCAAGGUGCUGCAUGGUUGUCGUCAGCUCGUGCCUUGAGGUGUCGGGUUAAGUCCCACAACGAGCGCAACCCCUAUCGCUAGUUGCCAGCAUGUAAUGGUGGGGACUCUAGCGAGACUGCCGGUGUAAACCGGAGGAAGGUGGGGAUGACGUCAAAUCAGCACGGCCCUUACGUCCAGGGCUACACACGUGUUACAAUGGCCGGUACAAAGAGCAGCCACCUGGCGACAGGGCGCUAAUCUCUAAAAGCCGGUCUCAGUUCGGAUCGAAG
rnacentral:rRNA from 1 species